rnacentral:rRNA from 1 species
UACGAGAGGCCCAAACGUUAUUCGGAAUUACUGGGCUUAAAGAGUUCGUAGGCGGCGCAACAAGUGGGGUGUGAAAGCCCUCGGCUCAACCGAGGAAUUGCGCUCCAAACUGUUGUGCUUGAGGGACCUAGAGGUGAGCGGAACUGAUGGUGGAGCGGUGAAAUGCGUUGAUAUCAUCAGGAACACCGGGAGGCGAAGGCGGCUCACUGGGGGUCUUCUGACGCUGAGGAACGAAAGCCAGGGGAGCGAACGGG